rnacentral:tRNA from 2 species
GGUAAGAUGGUCGAGACUUAGGCGAUAGACUGUAAAUCUAUAUAGGAGGGGUUCCCUCUUUUACCG